rnacentral:rRNA from 1 species
AUACGGAGGGUGCAAGCGUUACUCGGAAUCACUGGGCGUAAAGCGCGCGCAGGCGGUCUUUUAAGUUGGAUGUGAAAGCCUACGGCUCAACCGUAGAACUGCAUCCAAAACUAUUAGACUAGAGUGUGGGAGAGGAAGAUGGAAUUAGUUGUGUAGGGGUAAAAUCCGUUGAGAUAACUAGGAAUACCAAAAGCGAAGGCAAUCUUCUGGAACACUACUGACGCUGAGGCGCGAAAGCGUGGGGAGCAAACAGGAUUAGAAACCCUAGUAGUCC